rnacentral:rRNA from 1 species
AUUGAACGCUGGCGGCAGGCCUAACACAUGCAAGUCGAACGAGUGGCGGACGGGUGAGUAAUGUCUGGGAAACUGCCCGAUGGUGGGGGAUAACUACUGGAAACGGUAGCGAAUACCGCAUACUAUCGGAUUUGCCCAGAGGGGAUUGGCUUGUAGGCGAGGUAACGGCUCACCUAGGCCACGCUCCCUAGCUGGUCUGAGAGGAUGAACAGCCCCACUGGAACUCGGACACGGUACAGAGUCCAACGGCGGGGCGCAGUAGGGAAUAUUGGUCAAUGGGAGCAAGCCUGAUGCAGCCAUGCCGGGUGUAUGAAGAAGGUCUUCCGGUUGUAAACUACUUUCAGCGGGGAGGCGUUAGCCGGAGAAGAAGCACCUGCUAACCUCGUGCCAUCAGCCGAGGUAAUAC